rnacentral:rRNA from 1 species
ACGGCUCAGUAACACGUAGUCAAUCUAACCUAUGGACGGGAAUAACCUCGGGAAACUGAGAAUAAUGCCCGAUAGAACACUAUAUCUGGAAUGGUUUGUGUUCCAAAUGAUUUAUCGCCGUAGGAUGGGACUGCGGCCUAUCAGUUUGUUGGUGAGGUAAUGGCCCACCAAGACUAUUACAGGUACGGGCUCUGAGAGGAGUAGCCCGGAGAUGGGUACUGAGACACGGACCCAGGCCCUAUGGGGCGCAGCAGGCGAGAAAACUUUGCAAUGUGCGAAAGCACGACAAGGUUAAUCCGAGUGGUUUGUGCUAAACGAACCUUUUGUCGGUCCUAGAAACACCGAUGAAUAAGGGGUGGGCAAGUUCUGGUGUCAGCCGCCGCGGUAAAACCAGCACCUCAAGUGGUCAGGAUGAUUAUUGGGCCUAAAGCAUCCGUAGCCGGCGCUGUAAGUUUUCGGUUAAAUCUGUACGCUCAACGUACAGGCUGCCGGGAAUACUGCAGCGCUAGGGAGUGGGAGAGGUAGACGGUACUCGGUAGGAAGGGGUAAAAUCCUUUGAUCUAUUGAUGACCACCUGUGGCGAAGGCGGUCUACCAGAACACGUCCGACGGUGAGGGAUGAAAGCUGGGGGAGCAAACCGGAUUAGAUACCCGGGUAGUCCCAGCUGUAAACUAUGCAAACUCAGUGAUGCAUUGGCUUGUGGCCAAUGCAGUGCUGCAGGGAAGCCGUUAAGUUUGCCGCCUGGGAAGUACGUACGCAAGUAUGAAACUUAAAGGAAUUGGCGGGGGAG